rnacentral:rRNA from 1 species
CGGCGAACGGGUGAGUAACACGUGAGCAACCUGCCCCUGACUCCGGGAUAAGCGGUGGAAACGCCGUCUAAUACCGGAUACGACCCUGUGGCUCAUGCCGGGGGGUGGAAAGUUUUUUCGGUUGGGGAUGGGCUCGCGGCCUAUCAGCUUGUUGGUGGGGUAACGGCCUACCAAGGCGAUUACGGGUAGCCGGCCUGAGAGGGUGACCGGCCACACUGGGACUGAGACACGGCCCAGACUCCUGCGGGAGGCAGCAGUGGGGAAUCUUGCGCAAUGGGCGAAAGCCUGACGCAGCGACGCCGCGUGGGGGAUGACGGCCUUCGGGUUGUAAACUCCUUUUACCACUCACGCAGGCUCCCAGUGUUCUGGGGGUUGACGGUAAGUGGGGAAUAAGGACCGGCUAACUACGUGCCAGCAGCCGCGGUAAUACGUAGGGUCCGAGCGUUGUCCGGAAUUAUUGGGCGUAAA